GGCAAGGUGGCCGAGUGGUUAUGGCGGUAGACUCAAGCGCACUUUGAAAGAAAAGCUUGCCUGAAGUACUUUGUAAAAAUAAACUUCAGGUCGUAUUCUACUCUCGAAAGAGGCAGGGGUUCGAAUCCCCUUCUUGUCA